rnacentral:tRNA from 1 species
GAUGAAAUGCCUGAAAAAGGAUUAUUUUGAUAGAAUAAAACAUGUAUAAUAUUAUACUUUCAUUG